GCGCUCGUAGCUCAGCUGGAUAGAGUAUUGGCCUCCGAAGCCAAAUGUCGGGUGUUCAAAUCACCUCGAGCGCA
rnacentral:tRNA from 1 species